rnacentral:rRNA from 1 species
AACGAACGCUGGCGGCAUGCCUAACACAUGCAAGUCGAACGAGACCUUCGGGUCUAGUGGCGCACGGGUGCGUAACGCGUGGGAACCUGCCCUUAGGCUCGGAAUCACUCCCCGAAAGGGGUGCUAAUACCGGAUAAUGUCUUCCGACCAAAGAUUUAUCGCCUUUGGAUGGGCCCGCGUUGGAUUAGCCAGUUGGUAGGGUAAAAGCCUACCAAGGCGACGAUCCAUAGCUGGUCGGAGAGGAUGAUCAGCCACACUGGGACUGAGACACGGCCCAGACUCCUACGGGAGGCAGCAGUGGGGAAUAUUGGACAAGGGGCGAAAGCCUGAUCCAGCAGUGCCGCGUGAGUGAUGAAGGCCUUAGGGUUGUAAAGCUCUUUUACCCGGGAUGAUAAUGACAGUACCGGGAGAAUAAGCGCCGGCUAACUCCGUG